GUUUUGUUAUCUGUCAAAUAAAAUGUCUCGGAAAGUACCGUUUACCGUUAUUUACAUUUUUCCUUGGCUUUGUUAUUCUAUUGUUUGUUUUUUCCUUGUUGGUUUUUGUUUAUAUGAAUUUAGAUUUUUUUAACAAACAAAUUGUUGUUUUAUUUGUACAUUUUAUUUUCAUUUAAACUAAAAAAAAGAAGAUGUGUGAUUCAGACGUGAUUGAAACAGGUUCCCCCGUCUAUACAACUUAUGACCCGGAGUUUAACGAAAUUUGGGAGGACAUGGCGGAGACUAUAAAAUUUAAGGAACAGGACGAAGAACUACAAACGCUAUUUACCAACAAAAUGCAUUUAAAUUCUCCAUCUUCGUCGAGGGACAAGUAGCAGACAAAAUAUUUUAUUUAUUUUCUUUGUAAAUUUAAUGUUUUUGUUGAGACUUAGUGGUUUUUUAAAUUGUGUAUCAUGAUUUUCUUGUAUUUCGAUUUAAAAUUAAGAUGUUGUGAUUUUUAGUAUUAUUUUUAAGAAUUUUAUUUUAUUCUUGAGUCAACAAAAUUCAACAAAAAACUCAUUUUU